rnacentral:tRNA from 1 species
CCCCCCCCCGUUGAUGUAGCUUAACCCAAAGCAAGGCACUGAAAAUGCCUAGAUGAGUCUCCCAACUCCAUAAACA